rnacentral:rRNA from 1 species
UACGUAGGUGGCAAGCGUUGUGCGGAAUUAUUGGGCGUAAAGCGCGCGCAGGCGGUCUCUUAAGUCUGAUGUGAAAGCCCCCGGCUCAACCGGGGAGGGCCAUUGGAAACUGGGAGACUUGAGGACAGAAGAGGAGAGUGGAAUUCCACGUGUAGCGGUGAAAUGCGUAGAUAUGUGGAGGAACACCAGUGGCGAAGGCGACUCUCUGGUCUGUAACUGACGCUGAGGCGCGAAAGCGUGGGGAGCAAACAGG